UACAGAGGGGGCAAGCGUUGUUCGGAAUUACUGGGCGUAAAGGGCGCGUAGGCGGCCUCUUAAGUCGAACGUGAAAUCCCGGGGCUCAACCCCGGAACUGCCUUUGAUACUGGGUAUCUCGAGUCCGAGAGAGGUGAGUGGAAUUCCGAGUGUAGAGGUGAAAUUCGUAGAUAUUCGGAGGAACACCAGUGGCGAAGGCGGCUCACUGGCUCGGUACUGACGCUGAGGUGCGAAAGCGUGGGGAGCAAACAGG
rnacentral:rRNA from 1 species